GCAUACUACGACGUGUGCGUAUACGUACGCCAGUUGACCACAGCCGAUCCAGAUGACCCGUACGAUAACCAGGAAAUCACAUUUAUUAACACCACGCGCCGUACGGUGCAGCGGCUCGUUUAUUAAGAGAGAUGCACGUGGAUACGCGGUAACCCGAUGGAAAACCGAAAGGAAAACGGAUCGGACAAAGCUAUGGACCGAAAUAAGCCGUUUGCUAUAUCCAGCUGCAGCGGAAGGCCAGCGCCAUUGACGUUACCGCUCGUCCUCCGGGGAGUUCUCUAACGAUCAGGUGAGAGCGGUUUGAGAUAUGUGAAAAUCCGGGGAUCCGGUUUUCGGGAUUCUGCGGUCUCCAGGAUCUGCCAUGCGACUAAUUACAAACCCCUUUUCAAAUAACUCAAAAACCGUAGUGACCCGAAUUGCCCUUUUCGGUUUAUUAUACAAUGCCUACGCUAUAAUACAAAUUCUCACGCACACGCGAUACAUUUGUCGCAUUCGGAAAUCGAACGUCCGAAUUUCUGCUCUCUCGAUAAAAUCGAUUUUAAAAAUUCAUCUCGCGGCGAUGCGGUAGACAGAAAAAAAAAAUAAAGAAGAAAAAAAAAACGACGAAGAAUAAUACAAAGGUGACAAAAAAAAGCGGCAGACGGCAAAUUGCAGUUUUCUCAAGUGGAAUUAUUACAGCGUCUCUUCACCCGCAAUUUCAUACCCGUACUCUGGUAACCAUCUACUCGAGUCAAGCUGUAAAUUUUACAACAAACGUUUCGCUCUAUUUUACGUCGAAACUUCAACCUGGGUGUAUAUACCUGUCUUGCGUACAUAUCUUCUCAUCCCGACGUCGUCGCGUCGCUUAGAGAAAUUUCACGCGAAUCUGCUGCACCUUACGCAUAUAUCUAUAGCCGCGGCUGUGGUAUAACAAUUUUGGUUUUUACACUCCUCUUCAUUUUCUUUUCGCUGCAAUCUUUAUCUCGGUUUAUAUU